rnacentral:rRNA from 1 species
AUGACCAUAGAUCGAACCUAUCCUAUUUUUAUAGUGCGAUGGCUGGCUAUUCAUGGACUAGUUGUACCUACUGUUUUUUGUUGGGAUCAAUAG